rnacentral:rRNA from 1 species
GGGCAAUGGGAAGCCGUGAUGCGGAGCGAAAUAAAGUAGCGAAGUCCGUGAGCCAUGCGUCAAGAAAAGCCGCUAUCGUUUAUACCGUACCCGUACCGUAAACCGACACAGGUGGAUGAGGAGAGAAUCCUAAGGCCGGCGGAAGAAGCAUUGUCAAGGAACUCGGCAAAAUGGCCCCGUAACUUAGGGAUAAGGGGUGCCUGGGAAACCAGGCCGCAGAGAAUAGGCUCAAGCAACUGUUUAGCAAAAACACAGGUCUAUGCGAAACCGAAAGGUGAGGUAUAUGGGCUGACGCCUGCCCGGUGCUGGAAGGUUAAGAGGAGAGGUUAGCGCAAGCGAAGCUUUGAAUUUAAGCCCCAGUAAACGGCGGCCGUAACUAUAACGGUCCUAAGGUGGCGAAAUUCCUUGUCGGGUAAGUUCCGACCCGCACGAAAGGCGUAAUGAUUUGAGCGCUGUCUCGACAAUGCAUCCGGUGAAAUUGAAGUACCAGUGAAGAUGCUGGUUACCUGCGCCAGGACGGAAAGACCCCAUGGAGCUUUACUCCAGUUUGGUACUGGGACUCGGUAUUGCAUGUACAGGAUAGGUGGGAGGCUAGGAGAUAGUAACGCCAGUUAUUAUGGAGCCGCUGUUGGGAUACCACCCUUGCAGUAUUGGGUUUCUAACCAGCCGCCGUGACCCGGCGGUGGGACAAUGCCAGACGGGGAGUUUGACUGGGGCGGUCGCCUCCGAAAGGGUAUCGGAGGCGCCCAAAGGUUCCCUCAGAAUGGACGGAAACCAUUCGAAGAGUGCAAAGGCAGAAGGGAGCUUGACUGCGACACCGACGGGUGGAGCAGGUACGAAAGUAGGGCUUAGUGAUCCGGUGGUAUUAAGUGGGAAUGCCAUCGCUCAACGGAUAAAAGCUACCCUGGGAUAACAGGCUUAUCACUCCCAAGAGUUCACAUCGACGGAGUGGUUUGGCACCUCGAUGUCGGCUCAUCGCAUCCUGGGGCUGUAGUAGGUCCCAAGGGUUGGGCUGCUCGCCCAUUAAAGCGGUACGCGAGCUGGGUUCAGAACGUCGUGAGACAGUUCGGCCCCUAUCCGGCGUGGGCGUAGGAUAUCUGAGAGGAGCUGCCCUUAGUACGAGAGGACCGGGAUGGACGGGCCGCUGGUGCAUCGGUUAGACUGCCAAGUCUACGGCCGAGUAGCCAAGCCCGGAAGGGAUAAACGCUGAAGGCAUCUAAGCGUGAAGCCCCCCUUAAGAUGAGAUAUCCCAUUCGAAAGAAGUAAACCCCCUUGAAGACGACGAGGUAGAUAGGGCAGAGGUGGAAGUGUGGCAACACAUGGAGCUGACUGUUACUAAUCGGGUGAGGGCUUGACC